rnacentral:rRNA from 1 species
UGAGGAAUAUUGGUCAAUGGAAGAGAUUCUGAACCAGCCAAGCCGCGUGAGGGAAGACGGCGCUAUGCGUUGUAAACCUCUUUUGUCGGAGAACAAAAAACGGGAUGUAUCCCGUGUUGAGUGUAUCCGAAGAAAAAGCAUCGGCUAACUCCGUGCCAGCAGCCGCGGUAAUACGGAGGAUGCGAGCGUUAUCCGGAUUUAUUGGGUUUAAAGGGUGCGUAGGCGGCGGUUUAAGUCAGCGGUAAAAUUGCGGGGCUCAACCCCGUCGAGCCGUUGAGACUGGGUCGCUUGAGUUGGCGAGAAGUACGCGGAAUGCGCGGUGUAGCGGUGAAAUGCAUAGAUAUCGCGCAGAACUCCGAUUGCGAAGGCAGCGUACCGGCGCCAUACUGACGCUGAGGCACGAAAGCGUGGGGAUCGAACAGG